UCCUCUGCUCCAAAGCCGCUCCCAGCGCUAGGGGGCGUGAGUGGUCUGCCUGGCUCGGCCCACUCUUGAUUUCUGUCUCCACAAAUAGCAGGAGCACAAACACCGAGGUUAUGCCUGUCCACUUUCUUUUCCAGGAGACACUCUUCCUUUGUUCCUGUGACUACCUUCUUCAGGAUUGGUACGUGAUGUGCAAGCAAAUAUAAUGAGGGCACCAAGUGAGAGCUUGCCCAUUCCUCAAAGGCUCAGUGGGAGAGAAUGGUGAACUGACCAAGAGUUGGAGAAUUCGAGACUACUGGGAAAGACUACUCAAUCAAAUUCAAUUAGCUGAAUUUGAUUAAGCUGGCCACCUGACUGCACCCACCUGAUCAAGAUGAGAGACUGAGACCCAGGCUUAAAGGGAAGGGGAAGUUUUAAAGGCAAAACCACACUUGGUUUAUUUAUGAGGAAUCUGUAGCUAUGUGAAGAAAUGCCUUACUUCCACCUUUCGAGCAACCAUAAGCAUGUUUACAGAAGCCAGGGCAAGCAGUUAAUCACUGCUCGAUAAUCACACAUCUCUGGGAAGUGAGUAAAGAGACUGAAAAUUCCCUGGAAUUGUUGCUGGGUUCUGCUGAUAGACUGAAGCCCUAAGGUGGUUCUCUUGAGUAAAGUAGAUUCGAUUUGGGCCAUACUACAUUCUCCACUGGUUCUGGAUCACGUGGAUCAGAUCACUGAUUCAUACUCAUGUUGGGCUAAAUGGUGCUACUGGGCCUGUAGGAACUCAGAAGUUGGAAGCUGUGGUUCCUUGGGGCUAAUGCGAAGCUCCUAGGGCUGUUGAUCCAGUCAUUCCUGUUCCUUUAAGAAGAAAAAUGAAAAUACCUGAGACCAGCCUCUUGUUUCUACUGACAACUCUGUCAGUCAAAAGGUGUUCCCUACCUUCAGCUCCAUUGUAUAUGUACGCCUGGGGGAAUACAUGAACAAGUACACAGAAACUGCCAUCUACUGAUGCUAAUUCCAAAUCCUCUGCAGUGAGUAAUACAUGUAAUUGAGGCCAAAGGUACAGGCCCUCAGAGUCCCAGCUGGCACAAGAAAGUAGAUCCUCAUGUCCUCAGAUCUACAGUACAGAUCGGUCUAGAGUUGUCAGAUCUUGUCUUUUACUGUAACCAACUGGUUGAUAUGGAAGCGUUAUUCUUCUUUGAGACUCAAGACACAAAGACCACCUUUCUCUGCUGUUAGUAAAGCCAAUCCUCACCAAUUUUGAAGCACUAUGGUGACCAGUGAGUCUGUUUGGCCCUGGAGGGUAAGGAAGGUCUGAGCUACUUGUUGAAAACUGAUGCUGAACAUCCUUUCAUCUGUGUGGUCCAGGAAAACAUCAUUUGACAUAACCAACUUUCCAAAGGAACUAGAAGUUUCCAUUUAAGACUGAGACAAUGGUCUUCUUAUAAUUACUUCCUACAGAACUGGGGUGAAGAAUUCCUGUUUGGGGCCCAAGGAAAAGAGUGGUUAGUCUGAAAAAAAGCUAGCUGUAGCAUUGUUGCCCAGUCUUUGGGUUUAUCCAGUCUCUGUAUUGUGUGACUGUGGGACUGCAUAAGGGUAUCCUGGGUCAUG